UGGGGAAUAUUGGGCAAUGGGCGAAAGCCUGACCCAGCAACGCCGCGUGAUUGAAGAAGGUCGUCGGACUGUAAAGAUCUGUCCUAUGGGACGAAACAAAUGACGGUACCAUAGGAGGAAGCCCAGGCUAACUACGUGCCAGCAGCAGCGGUAAUACGUAGGGGGCGAGCGUUGUCCGGAAUUACUGGGCGUAAAGGGUGCGCAGGCGGGUUUUUAAGUCAGAUGUGAAAUACCCGGGCUUAACCUGGGGGGUGCAUUUGAAACUGGAAGACUUGAGUGCAGGAGAUGAAAGUGGAAUUCCUAGUGUAUCGGUAAAAUGCGUAGAUAUUAGGAGGAACGUCAGUGGCGAAGGCGACUAUCUGGACAGUAGCUGACGCUGAUGCGCGAUAGCGUGGGGAGCAAACA
rnacentral:rRNA from 1 species